CAAUGCAAGAGAAAACUUCACACAUGCACCGACACGACUGGCGGGGUGCCCCAAGGGGUUGUCAGUUGCGGGUGCAUGGAGGCUUAAC
rnacentral:sRNA from 1 species